AAGGGCUUGAGAUCAGACUUGGUAUUUUGUAUGUCUUGCUUUCGGGUAGGGCCUCUGCAGUUUAUCGGGCCAGCAUCAGUUUGGAUGGUAGGAUAAUGACAUUGGAACGUAGCACUGCUUCGGUGGUGUGUUAUAGACUUUGUUGAUACUGCCUGUCUAGACUGAGGACUGCGUCUUUUGACUAGGAUGCUGGCAUAAUGAUCCUAAGCCA
rnacentral:rRNA from 1 species